rnacentral:tRNA from 1 species
AUUAGAAUGGCAGAAAUUGCAUAGGAUUUAAGCUCCUUUUACACCUUUUUAGGUUUCUAAUA